CCUACGGGUGGCAGCAGUGGGGGAUAUUGGGCAAUGGGCGAAAGCCUGACCCAGCAACGCCGCGUGAAGGAAGAAGGCUUUCGGGUUGUAAAGUUCUUUUAUCAGGGAAGAAACAAGUGACGGUACCUGAGGAAUAAGCCUCGGCUAACUACGUGCCAGCAGCCGCGGUAAUACGUAGGGGGCAAGCGUUAUCCGGAUUUACUGGGUGUAAAGGGCGUGUAGGCGGGAAAGCAAGUCAGGUGUGAAAACCAUGGGCUCAACCUGUGGCCUGCAGUUGAAACUGUUUUCCUUGAGUACUGGAGAGGCAGACGGAAUUCCUAGUGUAGCGGUGAAAUGCGUAGAUAUUAGGAGGAACACCAGUGGCGAAGGCGGUCUGCUGGACAGCAACUGACGCUGAGGCGCGAAAGCGUGGGGAGCAAACAGGAUUAGAUACCCGUGUAGUC
rnacentral:rRNA from 1 species